CAGGCGGUCUGUUAAGUCAGAUGUGAAAUCCCCGGGCUUAACCUGGGAACUGCAUUUGAAACUGGCAGGCUUGAGUCUUGUAGAGGGGGGUAGAAUUCCAGGUGUAGCGGUGAAAUGCGUANAGAUCUGGAGGAAUACCGGUGGCGAAGGCGGCCCCCUGGACAAAGACUGACGCUCAGGUGCGAAAGCGUGGGGAGCAAACAGGAUUAGAUACCCUGGUAGUCCACGCCGUAAACGAUGUCGACUUGGAGGUUGUUCCCUUGAGGAGUGGCUUCCGGAGCUAACGCGUUAAGUCGACCGCCUGGGGAGUACGGCCGCAAGGUUAAAACUC
rnacentral:rRNA from 1 species